rnacentral:rRNA from 1 species
UACGUAGGGUGCGAGCGUUAAUCGGAAUUACUGGGCGUAAAGCGUGCGCAGGCGGUUUUGUAAGCCGGAUGUGAAAUCCCCGGGCUUAACCUGGGAAUGGCAUUCGGGACUGCAAGGCUGGAGUGCGGCAGAGGAGACUGGAAUUCCUGGUGUAGCAGUGAAAUGCGUAGAUAUCAGGAGGAACACCGAUGGCGAAGGCAGGUCUCUGGGCUGACACUGACGCUCAUGCACGAAAGCGUGGGGAGCGA